CGUUGCCUAAGGAUGGGGCCGCGGCCGAUCAGGUUGUUGGUGGGGCAAAGGCUCACCAAGCCUAUAACCGGUACGGGCCAUGAGAGUGGGAGCCCGGAGAUGGGCACUGAGAUAAGGGCCCAGGCCCUACGGGGCGCAGCAGUUGCGAAACCUCCACAAUGCACGAAAGUGUGAUGGGGCUAACCCGAGUGCCGUCCGCUGAGGAUGGCUUUUCUCCGCUGUAAGGAGGCGGAGGAAUAAGGAGAGGGCAAGACUGGUGUCAGCCGCCGCGGUAAUACCAGCUCUCCGAGUGGUAGGGACGAUUAUUGGGCUUAAAGCGUUCGUAGCCGGCCUGGCAAGUCUCUCGUCAAAUCCAGCGACCCAAUCGCUGGGCCGCGGGAGAUACUGUCAGGCUUGGGAACGGGAGAGGCCGACGGUACUCUCGGGGUAGGGGUGAAAUCCUGUAAUCCCGGGAGGACCACCAGUGGCGAAGGCUGUCGGCUAGAACGCGUCCGACGGUGAGGGACGAAAGCUGGGGGAGCGAACCGGAUUAGAUACCCGGGUAGUCCCAGCUGUAAACGAUGCGGGCUAGGUGUCGGUGUGGCUACGAGCCACCCCGGUGCCGCAGGGAAGCUCUUAAGCCCGCCGCCUGGGAAGAACGGUCGCAAGGCUGAAACUUAAAGGAUUGGCGGGGGAGCAC
rnacentral:rRNA from 1 species